AUGCAGACAUAAAAAGCUUGAGAUUGGUUCGUGCUGAAAAAUGGAUUCACUUUCAAGGCUUGGUGACUUUUGCCUUUACAUCAUUCCCAUUACCUAUUUAUUUUUCAGAUUGUGAAGGAGACUUGGGUACGGGCUGGACGGUGUGUUAGGGAUUUCACUCUCUACACUGGCUCCCUUGGGACAGCAUUCUUACUUUUCAAAGCAUAUGAAGUCACCAAGAACAAGAAUGAUCUCAAUCUCUGCAUUGAAAUUGUGAGGGCUUGUGAUACUGCUUCACGAGAAUCAAGACAUGUGACAUUCAUCUGUGGUCAGGCUGGUGUGUGCGCCCUUAGUGCCGUGGCUGCAAAGAACGCUGGGGAUCAUGCACUGCUCAACCACUACCUAUCCCAGUUCAAAGCGGGUAUGGUCGUGAAGGAAAUCAUCAAGGAUGGAAUACGAUUAGCCAACAAGGGUAGUUGCCCAUUGAUGUA